rnacentral:rRNA from 1 species
GACGAACGCUGGCGGCGUGCUUAACACAUGCAAGUCGAGCGGGAAACUUCGGUUUCCAGCGGCGGACGGGUGAGUAACACGUGGGCAACCUGCCUCACAAUGAGGGAUAGCCCUCCGAAAGGAGGAUUAAUACCUCAUAACACAAGAGAAACGCAUGUUUCUCUUGCCAAAGAAUUUCGUUGUGAGAUGGGCCCGCGGCGCAUUAGCUUGUUGGUGAGGUAACGGCUCACCAAGGCUUCGAUGCGUAGCCGACCUGAGAGGGUGAUCGGCCACAUUGGAACUGAGACACGGUCCAGACUCCUACGGGAGGCAGCAGUGGGGAAUAUUGCACAAUGGAGGAAACUCUGAUGCAGCAACGCCGCGUGAGUGAUGAAGGUCUUCGGAUUGUAAAGCUCUGUCUUUUGGGACGAUAAUGACGGUACCAGAGGAGGAAGCCACGGCUAACUACGCGCCAGCAGCCGCCGCCG